CUCUCUCUCUCUCUCUCUUCCCUAUUGUUCAAUUACGACCCAAUUUGCUCUCUCUCCCCUUUAUUCCACUCUCUCUGUCAUUGUCUCUGUGUCCCUACCCUCCUCUGCCUUCCUCUCAUCUUUGUUUUCUUUCCAUUUUGCACACGUGAGAGGAUUCAAAUUGAUGCAUGCUUGUUAACUCCCAAAAAAGAGAGUAUUCACUACUGUUUAUUUAUUAACUUAUAAAUAUAUGGGGUUAAUUAUAAAUUUUCUAGAAAUAUUUUCACUUUGUUUGCACCUCGCCCUUCAUACGUCUACACUUGUUCCUUGUGUCUAGACUCUAGAAACCUGUGCCUUUAUGGUCUAAUUGGUUAAGCAUUGGACUUCUUAAAAUGAUCAAUAUUUUUCUUUAAAUUGUUAUUGUGUAUUAGGAAUUAAAAUGAAUUGUGAAAGAAGGAAGUGUUCCUGCUACUAAAAGUAGUGCGACUCCGAAGGGCCACUGUCAUCUUAAUCAUCAUCUACUGCACCUGUCUCUGCAAAACAGAUCAGGGCUGUUAUGUUGCAAAAUGGUCCAGUAAUUGCACAAGAUCUUGUUGGCAGAGUUAAAUCACAGUUGAAAACUCCUGAGGUAUGCUACUUCUUGUUUAUUAGUCUGUCUGCUGGUGCUUCAUUUGUCGUUCAACAUCAGUGAAGACUCUCAUCUUUGGCGCUGUUGCAAAUUUUAAUAUCAAAACUCCAUUUUCAUCCAAGUGUUAUGCAAAUGCUCAAGUACUAAUUCAUCUCAGAUUGAAAUGAUAAAUCUCUUAUGAUUAGACCAUGUUGUUGUCUAGUGCUUUUGGUUGUUAUUCUAGAAUUCAGUGAAGUUAUGCAUGCUCUUAAAUAUCUACUUUGAGCAUAAUAAAGGUGGAACACAUUUUAAAAUAAAAUAUCUGUAAUCAGUUCAGAAGUAUCAUAUACAGUUUGUAAGAUGUAUGCCUUUAUCUUUGACUAGUGGUGUAUAUCAUAUGUGAUUUUUUUUUCUUUAUCAGUUAGAAGAAAUAUAAUUAAUUCUGUUUGAAAAUGUUGCGAAAUUUUAUUUCUAUCUUGCUCUCUUGAGUGCAGAAAAGGCUCACAGAUGCAGGACAAGAUAGAUUUUGCAAACACUGAAAAAAAUUUCUAGAAUCCAGAAGACUAGUGAAGCUAACUAUAUUGCAUUGAGAAGAUAGAUGUCCUCUUUUGGAUAUUCAUUUGCUAGGAAUAGCUUAUGGAGCUGCAAAUGAAUCCGUGUUGGUAUAGCAAUUUAGAAAUUUUUAGCUAUUGCAAACACAUCUUCUUGGUUUGCUGCAAAGUUUUGGAAUUCCCGUUUAGUGUUUUUUUUGCAUUAAAAGAUUGAAGGUAUCUCGUUGCCGCUCUCUUUUGUACUGGAAACUGUUUCAUUUAAUGCUCAGUUUAGAUUGAUAAUUUUGGCCAGAUAUUGUUAGUUUGUGUUCCGUGAUCUUAGU
rnacentral:misc_RNA from 1 species